UACGGAGGGACCAAGCGUUGUCCGGAAUCAUUGGGCGUAAAGCGCGCGUAGGCGGCCCGGUAAGUCCGUUGUAAAAGUCGAAGGCUCAACCUUCGAAAGCCGAUGGAUACUGCCGGGCUAGAGUACGGAAGAGGCGAGUAGAAUUCCUGGUGUAGCGGUGGAAUGCGCAGAUAUCAGGAGGAAUACCCGUAGCGAAGGCGGCUCGCUGGGCCACACCUGACGCUGAGACGCGAAAGCUAGGGGAGCGAACAGG
rnacentral:rRNA from 1 species